rnacentral:misc_RNA from 1 species
AAUAGAAAGAAAAAUAUUCUGAUAUUUUACAAUGCAGAUGACUUCUUGAACAACUUUAGGAAAUUUAUAUCCAUGGAGAUCUUUUAUAGCUUCCAUAAACAGUUUAUCAAGAAAUUUUGACGAGCGACCAUAAAAUAAUUUUAUUAAAUAAUUAAAUAAUUUUGCUCGAAUCUUUCCAGUUUGCCAAGAAAUUUUGAUGAAUAGCUAUAACUAUCGAACCACCCUGUAGAUGCAUUAUUCGCCAUGGAAAGGUCUACUUCUCCAAAUGAACUUUCCCUCGAACAAUAGUAUCGAACAAAGGGGACUACGAAACAGUUCUGGAAACGGGUUUUUACUUGGUUUGCAACCUUGCUCCGCUUUGAUUCUUCGAUCGCCUCCCUCUUUUAUUCGACACGUCAGAGGCUGCCUCAAUGAUUCAUCCACCUCACGCCUCUUCUACCCUCCCCUUGGAAAGGGCGAGUCGACACGCGACAUCACGUAUCAUUUCUUUAUCCACAAGUAUUCAACGAUAAUUUCAUUCACUGUUAAAUAAUUUUUAUUAUUUAUACAUAUACCUAUAUGUAGAAGUACAUAUACAGUGGUUGUAAGAAGUAUUUAUACAUCAUUAAUAUAUAUUAUACUAUAUAAUAAAUAAAUACUAUUAUACUAUAUAUUAUAGUAUUUAUUAUAGUAUUAAAUAUUUAUUGCAGCAUUCACAUGCUAAUUAAUUAGGUCCAAGUACGUUAAAUCUCGUACUAUUCGGUAUUAUUUUCACAUGACUAUAAAAAUUUGAUACCAUGAAAGCAAAACGCAUAGAAUUUGGUAAAAAGACGCUUCAUUAGAAAAUAAGGGUAUGUUCAAAUAAUUUUUGCAGCCACUAUAUAUUCAUGUAUAUAUCUAGUUCGCGUUAUCACAUAUUUUUGUGUACGACGAAUAAGCCGCGCAAUUAACGAUUCUUUCCUUUCGAGACUUUCUCGAGCAAUUCGUUUUCUUAACAAGCACCCCACCCGGGUUUGCACCGGGUAAAAACGGACGACAAUUUUUCGCGGAUCGAAAGGAAUUCUGACGAGAGACGAGGUUUCUCCCUUUCUCUCCUUAUCCACCUCUCUUCACUACCACGAGAGCCUCUCUAUACCUUGUGUACAACACACACGAUCUUCGUGAACACGCGCGCGGUCGUGUGUUGCCGUGCGUUACAACGUGGAUGACUCCUCCACGGCGUGGAUGAAACGACUCACUCGACUUGCUCACUUUCCUCGCCGCGAUGAAAGUGUGCUACUACUGAUCAGGAACGCGCACUCUCCCUGUUCGUUUCACGGAC